UGAAGGAUAGAAAAGUGGCUUAAAUCGUAUGACUAGAAAUCAUAUACAGUAACACUGUCAAGGGUUCGAAUCCCUUUCCUUCAA
rnacentral:tRNA from 1 species